AACGUAGGAGGCGAGCGUUAUCCGGAUUUACUGGGCGUAAAGCGCGCGCAGGCGGCGGGGUAAGUUGGCCGUGAAAGCUCCCGGCUUAACUGGGAGAGGUCGGUCAAGACUGCCUGGCUUGAGGUAGGGAGAGGGGUGUGGAAUUCCCGGUGUAGUGGUGGAAUGCGUAGAUAUCGGGAGGAACACCAGUGGCGAAGGCGGCACCCUGGCCCUCACCUGACGCUGAGGUGCGAAAGCGUGGGUAGCAAACAGG
rnacentral:rRNA from 1 species